CCUACGGGGGGCUGCAGUGAGGAAUAUUGGUCAAUGGGCGUAAGCCUGAACCAGCCAUCCCGCGUGCAGGAAGAAGGCGCUAUGCGUCGUAAACUGCUUUUCCAGGGGAAGAAAACCCGCUACGUGUAGUGGCUUGCCGGUACCCUGGGAAUAAGCAUCGGCUAACUCCGUGCCAGCAGCCGCGGUAAUACGGAGGAUGCGAGCGUUAUCCGGAUUUAUUGGGUUUAAAGGGGACGUAGAAGGAAGUGGAGAAAACCUUCAGCUUAACUGGAGACGUGCCAUUGAUACUGUGAGUCGUGAGUACGGUCAAGGUAGGCGGAAUGUGUAAUGUAGCGGUGAAAUGCUUAGAUAUUACACAGAACACCGAUUGCGAAGGCAGCUUACUGGGCCAUUACUGACGCUGAUGCACGAAAGCGUGGGGAGCGAACAGGAUUAGAUACCCCUGUAGUC
rnacentral:rRNA from 1 species